rnacentral:lncRNA from 1 species
CUCUGCUGUGGAGAUCCGUCUGGCCUGUGUUAUACUGGAGGGACUGGACUGGGGCUAUGCACAGGAUGGGAGUCUGGCCCUGCCCUCCUCUCUCCACAAUGAAGUUGCUCUGCUUUUGGCUGAAGCCUUUCAGAAAUACCUCAGACAAACCAUACAAUGGACUCAUCUCAGAGGGAAUCAAACAGGUGUCCUACCUGGCUAGUAUUCCCCCGUCUGGGUCUGUCUCCUGAGGCUUCCUUCAGCCAGUGGGCCUGGCAACUGUUGCUAAGGCUGAAGCUGCAUGGCAACACACAGUACCCUCAAGCAGCCUGGUCCACCCCCGGAUCCGCCCCUAAACCCUCCACUGAGCUCACUCACGCCCCCAAUAUGCACCCUGUUCUCGGGGCC